AUUGAACGCUGGCGGCAUGCCUUACACAUGCAAGUCGAACGGUAACAGGUUAAGCUGACGAGUGGCGAACGGGUGAGUAAUAUAUCGGAACGUGCCCAGUCGUGGGGGAUAACGUAGCGAAAGCUACGCUAAUACCGCAUACGAUCUACGGAUGAAAGCGGGGGAUCGCAAGACCUCGCGCGAUUGGAGCGGCCGAUAUCAGAUUAGGUUGUUGGUGAGGUAAAAGCUCACCAAGCCUGCGAUCUGUAGCUGGUCUGAGAGGACGACCAGCCACACUGGAGCUGAGACACGGUCCAGACUCCUACGGGAGGCAGCAGUGGGGAAUAUUGGACAAUGGGGGAAACCCUGAUCCAGCAAUGCCGCGUGUGCGAUGAAGGCCUGCGGGUUGUAAAGCACUUUCGGUGGGGAAGAAAUACUCAAAUUUAAUACAUUUGAGAGCUGACAUUACCCAGAGAAGAAGCACCGGCAAACUCUGUGCCAGCCGCCGCCGUAA
rnacentral:rRNA from 1 species